rnacentral:rRNA from 1 species
GUGACCCUACGGGACGCAGCAGUGGGGAAUAUUGCACAAUGGGGGGAACCCUGAUGCAGCAAUGCCGCGUGGGUGAAGAAGCACUCCGGUGCGUAAAGCCCUGUCAGCAGGGAAGAAAAUGACAGUACCUGGACAGGAAGCCCCGGCUAACUACGUGCCAGCAGCCGCGGUAAUACGUAGGGGGCAAGCGUUAUCCGGAUUUACUGGGUGUAAAGGGAGCGCAGGCGGCGUGGCAAGUCAGAUGGGAAAACCCGGGGCCCAACCCCGGGAGGGCAUUUGAAACUGCCAUGCUGGAGUGCCGGAGG